CCUACGGGAGGCAGCAGUGGGGAAUAUUGCACAAUGGGGGAAACCCUGAUGCAGCGACGCCGCGUGAGUGAAGAAGUAAUUCGUUAUGUAAAGCUCUAUCAGCAGGGAAGAAAAUGACGGUACCUGAGUAAGAAGCCCCGGCUAACUACGUGCCAGCAGCCGCGGUAAUACGUAGGGGGCAAGCGUUAUCCGGAUUUACAGGGUGUAAAGGGAGCGUAGACGGCAGUGCAAGUCUGGAGUGAAAGGCUGGGGCUCAACCCCCGGACUGCUCUGGAAACUGUACGGCUGGAGUGCAGGAGAGGUAAGUGGAAUUCCUAGUGUAGCGGUGAAAUGCGUCGAUAUUAGGAGGAACACCAGUGGCGAAGGCGGCUUACUGGACUGUAACUGACGUUGAGGCUCGAAAGCGUGGGGAGCAAACAGGAUUAGAUACCCUUGUAGUC
rnacentral:rRNA from 1 species